rnacentral:rRNA from 1 species
CCUACGGGAGGCAGCAGUGAGGAAUAUUGGUCAAUGGACGAGAGUCUGAACCAGCCAAGUAGCGUGAAGGAUGACUGCCCUAUGGGUUGUAAACUUCUUUUAUAUGGGAAUAAAACGUUCCACGUGUGGGAUUUUGUAUGUACUAUAUGAAUAAGGAUCGACUAACUCCGUGCCAGCAGCCGCGGUAAUACGGAGGGUCCGAGCGUUAUCCGGCUUUAUUGGGUUUAAAGGGAGCGUAGGUGGAUUGUUAAGUCAGUUGUGAAAGUUUGCGGCUCAACCGUAAAAUUGCAGUUGAAACUGGCAGUCUUGAGUACAGUAGAGGUGGGCGGAAUUCGUGGUGUAGCGGUGAAAUGCUUAGAUAUCACGAAGAACUCCGAUUGCGAAGGCAGUUCACUGGACUGCAACUGACACUGAGGCUCGAAAGUGUGGGUAUCAAACAGGAUUAGAUACCCCGGUAGUC